rnacentral:lncRNA from 1 species
GUGGAGCGGUGUGGGGCAGCGGAUCAGGGAGGGGCUGAUGAGGCACUUAGGCUUUGUCCUGAGGGCAGCAGGGAGCAGUAGGAAGGUUAUCCGCAGCCAGUGGCAUCCUUAGAGCAGCGUCUUAUUUUUUAUUUUCGUUAUUUUCUGUAGAGACGGUGUCUUGCUAUAUUGCACAGGCUGGUCUGGAAUCCUGGUCCCAAACAAGUGGUCCUCCUGCCUCAGCCUCCCAAUGUGCUGUAGCAGCAUUUUAGCAGGACCAUGAUGGAAGCGGCUCGAAGGAUGGGCUGGAGCGGAGAGCCACGCGCGGGAGCCCUGCUGGAGGGAGUUACUGGAAGGUGUGCGCCACCAAAAUCAAGGAAGAAGACAAGGAACCCACAGGACUGUGGGCCG